UACGUAGGGGCCGAGCGUUGUCCGGAGUUAUUGGGCGUAAAGCGCGCGCAGGCGGCCUCGCGCGCCCGACGUGAAAGCCCCCGGCUUAACCGGGGAGGGUCGUUGGGGACGGCGGGGCUUGAGGGCGGGAGAGGGCAGUGGAAUUCCCGGUGUAGCGGUGAAAUGCGCAGAUAUCGGGAGGAACACCAAUUGCGAAGGCAGCCCGCUGGGACGUUACUGACGCUGAGACGCGAAAGCGUGGGGAGCAAACAGG
rnacentral:rRNA from 1 species